rnacentral:rRNA from 1 species
GAUGAACGCUGGCGGCGUGCCUAAUACAUGCAAGUCGAGCGAACAGACGAUGAGCUUGCUCCUCUGACGUUAGCGGCGGACGGGUGAGUAACACGUGGAUAACCUACCUAUAAGACUGGGAUAACUUCGGGAAACCGGAGCUAAUACCGGAUAAUAUAUUGAACCGCAUGGAUCAAUAGUGAAACACGGUUUUCCUGUCACUUAGAGAUGGAUCCGCGCCGCAUUAGCUAGUUGGUAAGGUAACGGCUUACCAAGGCAACGAUGCGUAGCCGACCUGAGAGGGUGAUCGGCCACACUGGAACUGAGACACGGCCCAGACUCCUACGGGAGGCAGCAGUAGGGAAUCUUCCGCAAUGGGCGAAAGCCUGACGGAGCAACGCCGCGUGAGUGAUGAAGGUCUUCGGAUCGUAAAACUCUGUUAUUAGGGAAGAAAAAAUGUGUAAGUAACUAUGCACGUCUUGACGGUACCUAAUCAGAAAGCCACGGCUAACUACGUG